ensembl:snoRNA SNORD15 Small nucleolar RNA SNORD15
CUUCAGUGAUGAUACGAUGACGAGUCGGAACAGAACUCAGUCUGGUUCUGCUGGUUGCUGGUUCAGGUCCACGUUCUGUGGCUCUGCUCCAGUCCCUCAGAGCAGGGAGUCCUUUUCGGUUGAAGACAUCGAGGCAUUUGUCUGAGAAGG